UCCAGUUUGAGAAAAGUCCACCUUUAUUGUUUUGUUGAUCCGGUCAGAUUGAGGGCGGCGACUCGGAGACUGUCGGAGGCGCUCGUCUCACCUUCUUCUUCUUCUUCUUCUUCUCUUUUACAGGACUUGAUUUACACCGGGGUCAUCGCUGUGCUGCUCUUCAUCUCCUCCUGCGUCUUCGCUGCAGACCGCGGCUCUUUGGUUCAGGCGACCGUUGCUGUGGUCUUUGGCUUCUUGGCGACUGUGGCGUUUUUCAUCGACGUCGGCCUGAAGGUGAAGAGCAAGGGGCUUCCCUUCCUAAACAAAGGCAAGAAGCAGGAGCACACUAACGGCAUCCCGACGGCGGCAGAGGAGGAAAGACUCAAAACCAACGAGACAGUUUAAGCGUCUUUCUGCUCAUACGCGUGAGGUCGCUCAUUACUUUUCCCAAUAUUCCUCUAACAUGAUGGUGAAGGGGCGGAGCUUCCAAUGCUGACCUCACGUCCAUUUUUUUCUUUUUAAAUCCAGUUUGUAGUUUCCCCAGCGCUGAGGGCGCUCUGCUCAGAAAUCAUCACGCCGUCGCUGUGCAGAGCGCCGAAAACGAGAGACACUAAAACCAUCAAACCACUAAAUCUUCUGCUGUAGUUUAGAUUGUAGGAUUCAUUUUUACGCAGUUUGUGAUAAACGCUUUGCUUUAUCGUCCUGUUGUCAUAGAAAUAAUCAGACGGACGAGAAGGAAUCGCAGAAGUGUUUUCGAAGGCGUCGGCACCUCCGAUUGGUCCGAGUCGCUCCAGCAGAAUCCUGAUAUUAAAAUAUAUUCUCCUUA